GUGGCGCAGGCGUAGACGCAGACGUGCGGCUACCUCUCUUCCGGGACGCUACGCCUCUUGUGGGCGGGGCUUCAGCCAGGGGCUGGCCUGGGCUGCAGCAGGCGACCUGACGCGCCUCAACCUGGUGUCGGCCUCAGGGCUCGGGUCGAGCGGAGUGCCUGUCAGUGCUGGCUAUCUCCUCACGCCCUGGAUACCGCCUGCGAACCCAGCUCCCACAGGCCUUCGCUAACAGGCAGGAGGGCGCCGAGGUGGCAAGCCCGGGGCCAGGCAGGAACGAGACUGUCCGGUGUUGCCACUCGUCGCGCUUUCUCGAGACUCGGCCGCGCCUUGUGGGCUGUAGGACAGAAGACAGAAGUCCUGAGAGGAUCUCGAAAGUUCUCAUUUAGGACCCUCAAAGGCUUUGAACUUGCUGAGAGUAACAUACUGUAGAAAGAAUAUCAAAAAUUUGCGCGUAAAGUUCUUAGAGCGAUGUUUUACCCUGAGGCCAGCGCCCAGGUAAAGCAGGAAAUGAGAAGUUUAAGAGAUGACCAGUCACGAUUGGAAUUCAAACUGCCCUGUUCCUCUGUGGUUGAAAUCCAAGGCCCUACCCAACCCUGCCCACUUUCUAUUACUUCAGGGCGGGAGGCACUUCUGGGUGAGAGGAGGAAAAUUUCAGCUAUGGGGAGACAGGAGCAGCUUAUAUAUUGUAAGCCACAGUGAAUGAAGGUAUUAGAGGGAGCCUUUUAUGAUGAAAAGAGUUUGCAAAGUGAAGAUUUACUUAUCAACUUUCUGUGCUGACUUUAACAAGAUUUAAUUGUAAGAUAAAUAUCUUGGUUUAAUAUGGGAUGGUAGUAGUGCACCCAGAAGGAAAAAAUUCUUGUGUUUUUCUUGAGAGCUUCAAAUUUAAGGAAAUGAAGAGACACCAAUAAGGACAGGCUGUGGAGAGAAGACUGCUUAGAUAGAAGGCCCUCAGGGCUUACAUCUCUUUUUUCUUGAAGUGGGGCUUGUAAUAGUUAACUGUUAUGUCAGCUUGAGUAAGAAACACCCAGCUGAUUGGAAUGUCAUGAUUCUGGUUGUGGAUGAAUGGAUUUAUUGAAGAUAGAAGACCCAUCCUCUAUGUGAGUGGCACUAGCUGAUGGACUUACAGGCUGAAUGGAAAAGGGAAAAGAAGUCUUUAAGUUUUGUCUCUUUGGAGGAGCUCCAAUCUUUGCCUUUGCCAUGGAAAUCUGUCUCCUGACUUAGAGUGUAGACUUCAGCCUUCCAGCAUGGAUCCUUCAGCCUCCUGAUACCAACUCACAUGGGAAUCUACAGUGAGCUCCAGGCCUUCAACCUUUGACUGGAUCCUUCUGCUCCAGUGUGCAAACAGCCCUUUUGUACCCUUCCACACCUCACUCGGCAGGUGGCCAUGUGCUGAGGACAAGACCCAGAGCCUUACACAUGCAAAGCAAGCUCUUUACCACUGACUACACCACUGAUCCUUCAUUAUUUUUGCAAAGAAAACUCUCAAAUAAUCAAUCUGUUGGUCUGGAAGAGUUUAGCCAGUCUCCAUUUGGGUUCCCAUUUAGGCCUAAAGACCAGAUUCAAAAUGAAAGAGAGAGGCAACUCUCUCAUCUAAUUUGGGCAACUUGGGAUAAAUUACUUCAACUGAGCCUCAUUUUCUCAUCCAUAAAUGGGCAUAAUAAUCUACCCCACCUUACUCUUGGAGCCACAGGGAGGAUGAAAUGAAACAAUAAAUAUGACAGUGCCUUGUGGACAUUCAAGGUCUGUGCAAAUGCUAUGGAUUUAUUUUUUAAUCUGUGCUUGAGGCUCUAGAUGAAAUUCUCCAAGGCUGUUACACAUCCAGACAGUGACAUCAUAUACAUGUUAUUGGAGUCCAGGGUGGGGCACAGAAGACAGGCCCAGAAUCAUGGGGCAGGGUGAAUG